GGGGCGUUCGUCCAGGGGCCUAGGACGCUGGCCUUUCACGCCGGAGACACGGGUUCGAAUCCCGUACGCCCUA
rnacentral:tRNA from 1 species